CUCUCUUUGCCUGCCACCCUGUAAGAUAUGACUUGCUCCUCCUUGCCUUCCACCCUGUUUGUGAGGCUUCCCUGGUCACAUGGAACUUUGCUUGUUGCAUGCCUUCUAAACAGCCUACCCUGCCAAGUGCCAUGAUUACUGUGACCACAUCUUCAGAACCAGAAAACAGGAUACCUGGCCCUAAGCAUGCACUCAUGGAGCAGAAGAGUUUUAAAUCUGGAAUGCCACAGAAGACAGAAGAUAACAUGCUUACUACACUUGUAAAGCAACAUGCAGCCAGCCAUUUCCAGUGCAAAUUAUCUCAUUGCAUAGUGUGACAACUAAAGGGAUGCAGAGUUUACUGUGCAUUCUUCAAGACUAAGCUGAAACAUGAUUUCCCCUCGGAAGCUGUCAUUGGCUUCAGGUUCUUCUUCCUCUGUCAUUCUUCAGAACUUCAAGUGCUGUCUCAUAAACCGUGCCAGUUCAAGCCUUGAGUAACAUCCUAUAGUUGUAUGAUCUUGGACUACUUUAUUUAAACAAUAUAUUAU